AGACGAAGAUGCAGGGACACGCGCGAGGAGCCGCCGCAGCCGCCGCCGCCGCGCUGUGGAGCCCGAGUGAGCGCGGCGCCAGCCCGUCCGGCCGCUGGACAACAUGGAGGCUGCACUGCCCGGGCCGCCGUGGCCGCUGCUGCUGGCGCUGUGCGGCUGCCCGGCCCCCGCCGCAGGUACAUGUACUGGGCAGAUUGGGGUGAGACGCCCUGGAUCGAGCAGGUGGGGAUGGACGACAGCACCCAGAAGAUCAUUGUGGACUUGGACAUUUACUGGCCCAAUAGACUGACCAUCGACCUGGGGGAGAAGAAGCUCUACUGGGCUGACACUAAGCUCGGCUUCAUCCACCGUGCCAACCUGGACGGCUCGUUCCGGCAGAAGGUGGUGAAGGGCAGCCUGACGCACCCCUUCACCCUGACACUCUCCGGGGACACUCUGCACUGGAUGGACUGGCUGACGUGCUCCAUCCAUGCCUGCAACAGGAACACUGCGGGGAAGAGGAACGAGAUCUUGAGCGCCCUCUACUCAGCAUGGAUAUCCAGGUGCUGAGCCAGGAGCAGCAGCCUUUCUUCCACACUCGCUGUGAGGAGGACAAUGGUGGCUGCUCCCACCUGUGUCUGCUGUCCCUAAGGGAGGCUUUCUACAUGUGCGCCUGCCCCAUGGGUGUGCAGCUGCAGGACAACGGCAGGGCAUGUGAGGCCAGAGCCAAGGAGGUCCUGCUGCUGGCCCGGUAGACGGACCAAUGGAGGGUCUCGCUGGACACACCGGACUUCACCGACAUCGUGCUGCAGCUGGACGACAUCCAGCAUGCCAUCGCCAUCAACUAUGACCCAAUGGAGGGCCACGUCUACUGGACGGAUGACGAGGUGUGGGCCAUCCGCAGGGCAUACCUGGAUGGGUCUGGGGCGCAGACGCUGAUCAACACCAAGAUCAACGACCCCGAUGACAUCGCAGUCAACUGGGUGGCCCGAAGCCUCUAUUGGACCCACACAGGCACUGAACACAUCGAGGUGACGUGCCUCAACAGCACCUCCCACAAGAUCCUGGUGUCAGAGGACAUGGACGAGCCCCGUGCCAUUGCACUGCAUCCCGAGAUGGGCCUCACGUACUGGAUAGACUGGGGAGAGAACCCUGAAAUCAAGCGUGCCAACCUGGACAGGCAGGAGCUGCGCGUGCUGGUCAAUGCUUCCCUCGGGUGGCCCAACGGCCUGGCCCUGGACCUGCAGGAAGGGAAGCUCUACUGGGGAGAUGCCAAGACAGACAAGAUCGAGGCGAUCAGUGUCGAUGAGACGAAGAGGCAGACCCUCCUGAAGGACAAGCUCCCACACAUUUUCAGGUUCACCCUGCUGGGGGACUUCAUCUACUGGACCGCCUGGCAGCACCACAGCAUCAAGCGGGUACACAAGGUCAAGGCCAACCGGGACGUCAUCAUUGACCAGCUGCCCGACCUGAUGGGGCUCAAAGCUGUGAACGUGGACAAGGUCGUCGGGCCUGGAACUGCUGAGUGACAUGAAGACCUGCAUCAUGCCCAAGGCCUUCUUGGUCUUCACCAGUAGAGCCGCCAUCCACAGGAUCUCCCUCGAGACCAACAACAACGAUGUGGCCAUCCUGCUCUCGGCGUCAAGGAGGCCUCGGCCCUGGACUUUGAUGUGUCCAGCAACCACAUCUACUGGACAGACAUCAGCCUGAAGGUAGCGUGGGCCCGAACAUGCACACGUGCAGCCUAUAUGGGAAAACCUUCCCUCUGUACCUGCCUCAAAGGUUUCAGACAUUUUUCUUAAAGCACUAUAAUAUUUAUUGUAACACAAUUCAAGCUAAUUAAAUAUGAGCAAGCCUAUUUCAAAAA
ensembl:lncRNA novel transcript